rnacentral:rRNA from 1 species
GAUGAAUGCUAGCGGCAGGCCUAACACAUGCAAGUCGAGGGGUAGAGGCUUUCGGGCCUUGAGACCGGCGCACGGGUGCGUAACGCGUAUGCAAUCUACCUUGUACAGGGGGAUAGCCCAGAGAAAUUUGGAUUAAUACCCCAUAGUAUUAUUGAGUGGCAUCACUUGAUUAUUAAAGUUCCAACGGUACAAGAUGAGCA